UCAACACUUUAUAAAAUUCAUCCAAACCUCAACUGUAUUUUAUGCAAAUGUUUGCCCAAGUUUCGAUCAGCACGUGUAAGUUCAAAUCCCGUAAAAUUUCUGUCCAAAACCAAAGAAGCUUCUGACCAAAUAAAGACGAAGGACAAAUCGAGAAAGAAGAUCCAGAGAUUUUUUGGAGCUGAUAAUGGAACCCUGUUCAAAUAAUUCUUUCUUUUAGUUUAUCUUUAUUUGUACGCUCUCGCUUAUCGCUUUUAUAUUUUCAUUUUGUAAAAAUAAUAUUUUCGUUA